GACGAACGCUGGCGGCGUGCUUAACACAUGCAAGUCGAACGGAAAGGCCCUGCUUUUGUGGGGUGCUCGAGUGGCGAACGGGUGAGUAACACGUGAGUAACCUGCCCUUGACUUUGGGAUAACUUCAGGAAACUGGGGCUAAUACCGGAUAGGUGCUCCUGCUGCAUGGUGGGGGUUGGACCGUUUCGGCGGUUGGGGAUGGACUCGCGGCUUAUUAGCUUGUUGGUGGGGUAGUGGCUUACCAAGGCUUUGGCGGGUAGCCGGCCCGAGAGGGUGACCGGCCACAUGGGGACUGCGAUACGGCCCAGACUCGUACGGGAGGCAGCAGGGGGGAAUAUUGCACAGUGGGCGGAAGCCUGAGACAGAAACGCCGCGUGCGGGAUGACGGCCUUCGGGUUGUAAACCGCAUUCGCCUGUGACGAAGCGUGAGUGACGGUAAUGGGUGAAGAAGCACCGGCUAACUACGUG
rnacentral:rRNA from 1 species